UACUCUCGUGUUACCUGGUUAUAUUUAAUGAAGAAUCAUUCUGAGUUGUUUUCUAUUUUUUGUGCCUUUUGUAAUGAAAUCAAAACUCAAUUUAAUAUUUCUGUGCGCAUAUUAAGAAGUGACAAUGCCAAAGAAUACUUUUCAGUACAAUUUCAGUUUUAUAUGACACAAAAUGAUAUUCUUUAUCAGUCUUCCUGUGUAGAUAUCCUAUCCCAAAAUGGCGUGGCCAAAAGAAAAAAUUGGCAUCUUCUUGAGGUUACUAAAUUGGAUCCAAAGUCUCUCAAUUGUGUCUUCCUUGGGUACUCCCGACUGCAAAAAGGACCUACUUGACCUCCCGUUGUUCAUGUUUAUUUCGGGAGAUUGGAGAUUCCUGACUCAGAUCCUCCACCAGCUACUUCGUUGGGAGAUCCUGUACCUCAUACUGAUCAUGAUUCUGAUCUAGACUUACCCAUUGCUUUUCGUAAAGGUAAACGUUUAUGUACUUACCCUAUCUUUUCUUUUAUUUCUUAUAAUCAAUUGUCUUCUUGUUCUCGGUGUUUUGUUACUUCUUUAGACUCUGUUCCUAUCCCUAAUACUGUUGGUGAGGCAUUGUCUUGUUAUGGAAAGUCAAUCACUAUAUUAUGGAAAGUCAAUCACUAUAUUAUUUCUCUGUAUAUUUUGUAUUCUGUAUUCCUAUUUAGGAUUUCUUAUUUAGGAUUUCUUCCUAAUUAGUAGAACACAAUUAUAGGAAUCAAUUGUAUAUAUAUACGCAUGUACAGAUUAAUUGAAAUCAAUGAGAAUCAUCUCUUUCUACAUGGUAUCAGAGCAGGUCAUCAAUCUAGGGUGACUAUUUGUUCUCACUACCCAGCUCAGGAGAGACC